ensembl:lncRNA
UGAUGAUAUGAAACCUUUAAUCAUUAAUGAAAACAAGCAAUUUGUCUAUGAUCUUAGAUUGACAAUCCAUAAAAUAGUGUUUCUCAAAUGACAAAUUAGCAACUUGGUUACAAAGAACAAAGUUUAAACAACACAACAGUUGUAUGCACAAAGCUACCACGUCUCUUUUUUUUUUUUUUUCUUCUUUUUUUUUAAAUCAGGAAAAAGAUUUAUUUAUAAAAAGUCUCAUUUAAUUUACUGUUGAGUCUCUAGCUGAAGAAUACAGUGGUUUAGAACACUAAUGGCCCAUGCUUUUAUACAGAUUAGCCAAAGCAUGAACAUCGAUGAAAAUUAACCCCCAAAAAUAACUCUUCUUUGCUUUAUGUUAUGAGCCACAACAGUGUUAAAACUGGAACAGUAAUGAAAGCAACACAAGAGUUAGGAAGCACAGUUGCUUAAAGUGUUUUCUUUUGAUGUCUCAGAAUAAUAAGAAAGUUAGAAAUGGCAGAAACUCCUCUGUAGAUUAGUCCAUAGAAAGCAUUGUCUCAUGGGGCUUUGGAAAAGUCCUGUCUGGUGGCUAAUGCACUAGGGCAUGAUGAGAUACAUUACAGAGCCCCCAGGCCAGUGACUUCUGAAGAGAGCCUAAAAUGUGGGAACAAAAAUGAGGAAAAGAAAAAAAAAAAAAAAAAAAAAAAGGCAGAAAAAAAAAAAUAUCUUCUCACUAUUAAAAAAAUAACAGUUGAGUACAACCAGCAUAGAACAGCAUUUCAGUGCAGGCAAGUUCUCUCACACAGAGGUUGGUGGUUUGAGUUCUUUAAAUGUCAGUUACUUAAACAGAUACAAUAGUCCCAAACAAUUUUACAGCAGUUUUCUGGAGCUUUUAAAUAGCUGAGGUACCUUGACAUUAUUUCCAGUUGUUCCUUCAGUAUAUACAAACCAAACCAAACCAAAAAAAGCCCAAAAGGAAAGAAAAACCAAACGAACAAAACCAACCAAAAACCCCAUUUGGAUAAGUGCAAACUGUAACAAUGGCGGUUCUACAAACGGUUACAGUGACAAAACUUAGUGCAAAGGUACUAAGGUGAAGAAAAGCCCACAGAAUACAGACACAAAAUACUGAGAUAGUACUUAGCCCUAUACAAUAAUAAUCACACACUUUGAAAUACCAUGUUUUAAAAAGUAUUGCAUUUGCAUUGUGUUUUUAGUUUAUAUUAAAAUGCACUGAAUACAGUUCAAUUGUUAAAGCUUUGUGUCCAAGGAGUGCAAAGUGGAUGAACAUAGCGGGCUAAUGGGAUUCUGGAUUUGGAAGUGGUGAGGAAAACAAUAUUGCAUUACUGAGUUAUGCAACAGAAAUUAAAAAGAAGGUGGAUGGACAAACAGAAAAUGCAGUUAAAAACUAGUUCCAACAGCUAGCAACCAGCCAUUGCAUCACCUGCCUCUCUCAUGGUUUUAGUUAAUCUGAACUAAUCAUUAAGUUCUCAUUAAAGGGAUGGUACCUGCACAGGCAGCAGCCUUUCAGUGUCCUUUGAUAAGCACUGGAUUUAAUUUGUAAUUACAACACAACCCGAUCACGUGAUUAGUGACGAGUUAAGCAGUGAUGUAUUUUGUGCAGAAACCUAACAAAAAAUGGUCAUUUUGGCUGAGCAAAAUAUAUGCAGGAGGCAGUAUCAGAAUAGUGACUGUGCAUGUCUGAUUUGUACCUACUAGUAAGCACUGAGAGAAGUAAGUACUUUGUCGGUGUAUAUGUAAGAGUAAAAAAUCCGAGUGCAAAAGGGGGAGCCUGCUCUUCCUCCCCAAAGGAGAGUUCCUAAAUUUAUGUUUUUCGAAACCAGAGAAAAAUGGUUGCAC